GACGAACGCUGGCGGCGUGCUUAACACAUGCAAGUCGAACGGUGACGCCCUAGCUUUCUCGGUCUCAUUAGUGGCGAACGGGUGAGUAACACGUGAGCAACCUGCCCUUCACUCUGGGAUAACUUCGGGAAAUCGGGGCUAAUACCGGAUAUGAGCUCCUGUCGCAUGGCGGGUGUUGGAAAGUUUUUCGGGGUAGGAUGGGCUCGCGGCCUAUCAGUUUGUUGGUGGGGUAGUGGCUCACCAAGGCCUUGACGGGUAGCCGGCCUGAGAGGGCGACCGGCCACACUGGGACUGAGACACGGCCCAGACUCCUACGGGAGGCAGCAGUGGGGAAUAUUGCACAAUGGGCGAAAGCCUGAUGCAGCGACGCCGCGUGCGGGAUGACGGCCUUCGGGUUGUAAACCUCUUUCAGCAGGGACGAAGCGAAAGUGACGGUAACUGCAGAAGAAGCGCCGGCUAACUACGUG
rnacentral:rRNA from 1 species